UACGUAGGUGGCAAGCGUUGUCCGGAAUCACUGGGCGUAAAGCGCGCGCAGGCGGCGGUCUACGUCUGGGGUGAAAGCUCGGAGCUCAACUCCGGGACUGCCUUGGAUACGGGAUCGCUUGAGGAUUGGAGAGGCAAGGGGAAUUCCACGUGUAGCGGCGAAAUGCGUAGAUAUGUGGAGGAACACCUGUGGCGAAGGCGCCUUGCUGGCCAAUUUCUGACGCUGAGGCGCGAAAGCGUGGGGAGCAAACAGG
rnacentral:rRNA from 1 species